rnacentral:rRNA from 1 species
UACAGGGGGGGCAAGCGUUGUUCGGAAUUACUGGGCGUAAAGGGUCUGUAGGUGGCUUGCUAAGUCAGACGUGAAAUCCCUCAGCUUAACUGGGGAACUGCGUCUGAUACUGGCAAGCUUGAGUGCAGGAGAGGAACGCGGAAUUCCAGGUGUAGCGGUGAGAUGCGUAGAUAUCUGGAGGAACACCGGUGGCGAAGGCGGCGUUCUGGACUGCAACUGACACUGAGAGACGAAAGCCAGGGGAGCAAACGGG